AUUGAACGCUGGCGGCGUGCCUAAUACAUGCAAGUCGAACGAAGUGGCGCACGGGUGAGUAAUUAAUAGUUAAUCUUCUCUACACAUAAGAACAAUAGCUGGAACCGCCUGCUAAUACUUCCUCGCGUAGGCUGAGACGAUAUUGUAUCAGCGAGUUGGUAAGGGAAUGGCUUACCAAGGGUAUGACCAGUAACUGGUCUGAGAGGAUGAGCAGUAGCAUCAGAAGUGAGGCACCGUUCAGGCACAUAGGGCAGGGAGCAGUAGGGAGUAGCAGCCAAGGGGGGAGAGUGUGGAAGAGCUUAGCCGCGUGGAGGAUUACACUUGUCGAAGCGUAUACUACGUUUAUCAGGAAAGCGGUACCUGAAGAAUAAGCACCGGCUAACUCCGUGCCAGCAGCCGCGGUAAUUC
rnacentral:rRNA from 1 species